AAUGAUCUCAAACGGAAGCUAAGUGAUCACAAGAAUUAAUACAAGUACAGAAGAAUCAUUAUGAAUCAUCAUAUGCUGUAACGUUUCGGUAGUUCUUGUGCCGAAUGUCCUGACACCGAUGAAGUCUUCCAUGUGUCUAAUCCCUUAUGAAGAUGCCGCAAAAAUAUGAUCACUGUUAUCAUCUUUAUCUCCUUAAAGAGUUGAUAUCCUCGCUGUACGUAGCGUACACAAGCAGAUUACGUAGGCAGACAUUCUAUAGUAUCGUAGACAUGUGCAUGUAUUAUGUAGAUAAAGACAAACGCAUGUGCAUCGAGCGAGAACUAUACAUAUACAUGUAGUUAAUCGCGCGUUACGCGCAGUUAUUCUCAGGAGGCUAGACUGGGUAGAUGCUAUAGCUACAUAACGCGCAGAUUAUAGAAGAACGAGGGGCGAAGAAGAGCGAGGAGGACCGUGCGCAACCAAGGAAAUAUUGCGAAUGGUCAGAGCCUUGCUGAUUCUAUUGGCAACCGUCACUAAAACGGUUUCGACGAUAAUUAAAUCGUUAUGCCAAUUAGCCGAAUGCAUGCUGUAGCUGUAUACACGCGGUGCAUAAACUUGUUCCAUUCGACAGAGGGAGAUAAAGCAGUCGCAAAAAUACACGAACGCUGUCUACAUAUGGAUGCGACUGUCUUGGAAUCAGGCGAAGAUCGUAUAGGUCGCUGCUGAUGCAGAAGACUCGCGAGUUGCAUGGCACGAUCGUAGGAAUAACAUAUGUAGGAGAAAGGAAGGAUGAUAGCUGCGAACCAGUGCACGACGCUGCGGAGGAGCCGGGAUAGCAUAAAUCCUUGCGGCGCGUAUUCCCGGCACGGAGAUGAUUUUCCCAGGACAUAGUACACGGGUGAACGAGAUGAGUGGGCCAAUGUUACAUACAAAAGCACUAAGUCGAGAAGGGAAAGCGAUUGCAUAAUAAAUGCUGUAGUAAGAAUAGGCGCCCUUCCAAAAAUCAGUUGAUGGCCAGAUGCCGGUCUCGGAAAGGGAAAACCUUGUAAAUAAAAACUUGUAAAUGAAGCUUCUCCUGGUAUCGAGCCGCAGCCAACCGGCUGUUUUACAACUAGGAUUGGGAUGUGACACAACCUUUGUAUACAUUUCAUCGAUACAUGCAGAACGUGUGGGCGUUUAAAAAGGUGUGGGAAAGGCUGUCAGUUUAUUUUACGUAUGUAUACAUAGUGUAUAUUAUCUUGUGCCGCGCCGUAUCGGCUUAGCACCUGCGUGCGACUCCUUCCCCAUUUCUUUUUUAUUUCCAUCUCGUAAACAGGUGCUUCCAAUUUUUAGUAUUUUACGGUGAUGAAACACGCCGGUGUAGCUUACAAUCAGAGGGAGUCCGAAUUAGAGUGCGUAGAAAGUAGAAUAGCGUCUUAUAUUUGCCUUUAACAUAACGUAGGCAUUAUGCACACGCGUGUAUCUACGAGAGUUGAAUGGUGUUGGUCCGGACACGAUCCAAAGAUUCGUGCCACGUGCAGAAACCGGUUUAUUAUUUCGUUUUCGGUUAUUUUCUACGACCUAACGCUGCUCUUUAAAUUUUCGACUCAGAGGAGAAAUCUAUUAAUUUCGUAUAAAAACAAUUAACGUCGAUUCGUGCAUCGGUGAGUCUGGUAUUUCAAUGGUUUAAUGAUAGAUCAUCGAGUCAUUUCUAUCGUUCUAUUAAUAAACGAAUGCAUUUCGUGAUACGAAUUGUCGCUUGAAUGACGCGAAUGAUGUAACGUCGAUUAUUAUGAAAUCUAUGCGUAAGUUGGAACUUUUCUGAUGCAUUAAGAUUCACCAAGACACAGCAACUAUGCACAUACGUAAAAUUAAGAUGUACAUAGAUAGAUGACAGAGGGAAUACAUUAUAUUUAAACAGUGCAAGUGCUUUUGUCCGGUUAAUCAUAUUCUUAUGAAUUAAUUCCACGCUUAAGGAUGUAUUGGCUAUACAGUCAAUCCCAAAGGUUUAUGCACUUUAGAAACGCAUUUUGUAAA